rnacentral:rRNA from 1 species
GAUGAACGCUGGCGGCGUGCCUAAUACAUGCAAGUCGAGCGAAGCGGGGACGGGUGAUUACCACGUGGAUAACCUCCUAUAAGACUGGGAUAACUUCGGGAAACCGGAGCUAAACCGGUUACUUAUAGGUGGAUCCGCGUUGCAUUAGCUAUUUGGUAAGGUAACGGCUUCCCAGGGCAACGAUGCAUAGCCGACCUGAGAGGGUGAGCGGCCACACUGGAACUGAGACACGGUCCAGACUCCUACGGGAGGCAGCAGUGGGGAAGCUGCCGCAAUGGGCGAAAGCCUGACGGAGCAACGCCGCGUGAGUGAGGAAGGUCUUCGGAUCGUAAAACUCUGUGAUUAGGGAAGCGGUACCUAAACAGAAAGCCACGGCUAACUACGUGCCAGCAGCCGCGGUAAUAC